CUAUGCGCCUUGCCAGCCCGCUCAGGUGUGCCAGCAGCCGCGGUAAUACGGAGGAUGCGAGCGUUAUCCGGAUUUAUUGGGUUUAAAGGUGCGUAGGCGGUCCGUUAAGUCAGCGGUAAAAUUGCGGGGCUCAACCCCGUCGAGCCGUUGAAACUGUCAGACUUGAGUUGGCGAGAAGUACGCGGAAUGCGCGGUGUAGCGGUGAAAUGCAUAGAUAUCGCGCAGAACUCCGAUUGCGAAGGCAGCGUACCGGCGCCACACUGACGCUGAGGCACGAAAGCGUGGGGAUCGAACAGG
rnacentral:rRNA from 1 species